rnacentral:SRP_RNA from 1 species
GCUGGGCGUAGUGGUGGGCGCCUGUAAUCCCAGCUACUCAGGAGGCUGAGGCAGGAGAAUUGCUUGAACCCAGGAGGCGGAGGUUGCAGUGAGCCGAGAUCGUGCCACUUCCCUCCAGCCUGGGCAAUAGAGCAAGACUCUGUCUCAA